GAUGAACGCUGGCGGCGUGCCUAAUACAUGCAAGUCGAGCGAACAGACGAGGAGCUUUCUCCUCUGACGUUAGCGGCGGACGGGUGAGUAACACGUGGAUAACCUACCUAUAAGACUGGGAUAACUUCGGGAAACCGGAGCUAAUACCGGAUAAUAUAUUGAACCGCAUGGUUCAAUAGUGAAAGACGGUUUUGCUGUCACUUAUAGAUGGAUCCGCGCCGCAUUAGCUAGUUGGUAAGGUAACGGCUUACCAAGGCAACGAUGCGUAGCCGACCUGAGAGGGUGAUCGGCCACACUGGAACUGAGACACGGUCCAGACUCCGACGGGAGGCAGCAGUAGGGAAUCUUCCGCAAUGGGCGAAAGCUUGACGGAGCAACGCCGCGUGAGUGAUGAAGGUCUUCGGAUCGUAAAACUCUGUUAUUAGGGAAGAACAAAUGUGUAAGUAACUAUGCACGUCUUGACGGUACCUAAUCAGAAAGCCACGGCUAACUACGUG
rnacentral:rRNA from 1 species